rnacentral:rRNA from 1 species
CCGAAAGCAUCGAGCUGGAUCACUACUGACGCUGAGGAACGAAAGCUAGCAGAGCAAACAGGAUUAGAUACCUUGGUAGUCCUAGCCCUAAACGAUCAGGACUUGGGGUGCCGCCCGUUCGGGAGUCGUCCCGGAGCUAACGCGUUAAGUCAGCACAUGGGGAGUACGGUCGCAAGACUGAAACUCAAAGGAAUUGACGGGGGCCCGCACAAGCGGUGGAACAUGUGGUUCAAUUCGACGUUACGCGAGGAACCUUACCUGGGCUCGAAAUGCUUAGGACCAGCUGUAGAAAUACGGCCUUCCCGCAAGGGACCUGAGUAUAGGCGCUGCAUGGCUGUUGUCAGUUGGUGCCGUGAGGUGUUGGGUUAAGUCUCGUAACGAGCGCAACCCUUGCACACAGUUAUUUCUUGCAAGAGAGGAGAUUUGUGUGGAGUGCUCCGGAUAACGGAGAGGAAGGUGGGGAUGAUGUCAAGUCCGCAUGGCCUUUAUGUCCAGGGGUACACACGUGUUACAAUGCAGGGUACAAACCGUUGCCAACCCGCGAGGGGGAGCUAAUCGGAAAAAACUCUGCUCAGUUCGGAUUGCAGUCUGCAACUCGACUGCAUGAAGCCGGAAUCGCUAGUAAUGGCGUAUCAGAUGGACGCCGUGAAUACGUUCCCGGGCUUUGUACACACCGCCCGUCACAUCACGAAAGUGACCUGUACUAGAAGUCGCCACGCUAACCGCAAGGAGGCAGGCGCCCAAGGUAUGACUCAUGAUUGGGGUGAAGUCGUAACAAGGUAACC